UUGCGAAGGCAGCUCACUGGACUGCAACUGACACUGAUGCUCGAAAGUGUGGGUAUCAAACAGGAUUAGAUACCCUGGUAGUCCACACAGUAAACGAUGAAUACUCGCUGUUUGCGAUAUACAGUAAGCGGCCAAGCGAAAGCAUUAAGUAUUCCACCUGGGGAGUACGCCGGCAACGGUGAAACUCAAAGGAAUUGACGGGGGCCCGCACAAGCGGAGGAACAUGUGGUUUAAUUCGAUGAUACGCGAGGAACCUUACCCGGGCUUAAAUUGCAGUGGAAUGAUGUGGAAACAUGUCAGUGAGCAAUCACCGCUGUGAAGGUGCUGCAUGGUUGUCGUCAGCUCGUGCCGUGAGGUGUCGGCUUAAGUGCCAUAACGAGCGCAACCCUUAUCUUUAGUUACUAACAGGUCAUGCUGAGGACUCUAGAGAGACUGCCGUCGUAAGAUGUGAGGAAGGUGGGGAUGACGUCAAAUCAGCACGGCCCUUACGUCCGGGGCUACACACGUGUUACAAUGGGGGGUACAGAAGGCAGCUAGCGGGUGACCGUAUGCUAAUCCCAAAAUCCUCUCUCAGUUCGGAUCGAAGUCUGCAACCCGACUUCGUGAAGCUGGAUUCGCUAGUAAUCGCGCAUCAGCCACGGCGCGGUGAAUACGUUCCCGGGCCUUGUACACACCGCCCGUCAAGCCAUGGGAGCCGGGAGUACCUGAAGUACGUAACCGCAAGGAUCGUCCUAGGGUAAAACUGG
rnacentral:rRNA from 1 species